rnacentral:lncRNA from 1 species
CCUAACACAAGAGUGUGCGUGAAUAUAGGUGAUUGUGUUUCAAAAAGGAGGGAGAAGGAGGCCUGAAUGCCUCUCAGAGUGCAUUGUGUCUGGGGCUAGUAGGGUUGCCCCUUGUUCUGUGAUGUCACAAUGCCCAAACACACGCACCAAGAAGUCAUCAAAGACAGCCCAACUCACAGCCCAUGAGGGACCCUGAGUACUGCCUCUGACCUCUCUAUGGCAAGCCAAAUGGCCAUGGGAAGACCCCAUGGAGUGUCAGAAUGAUGCCGUUGAGGGCAAGGAUUUUAGACCGGUCAUGGAUUCUGCCUGUGCACUGGGCUCUACCACUUUCUAGCUAUCUGGCUACUAGCAAGUUACCUUAACAAUCUAAGUUUCAACCUCCCCAUUCGUGAAAUGGAGAUGAUGUCUUAGUCAUAGAAGUAGCAAGUCUACUGCAUAUCAACAGUGUAGCACUGAGCCUGGCUCUUUAUAAGGAAACAGGCCGAGAGACGCAAGUCAAACAGCAAAGGAUGGUCUGCUGUCUGUCUGACUCCAAUGCCAAUGGUCUUUCCUCUAUAACCUAAAGCAAUAAAACCCCUGCAACAUCUA